rnacentral:tRNA from 1 species
GCGGGCGUGAUGGAAUGGUAGACAUAACGGACUUAAAAUCCGUAGGGCCUCGCCCAUGCCGGUUCGAGUCCGGCCGCCCGUACCA